rnacentral:lncRNA from 1 species
AGAGUAUAUAUGCCAUUGUCAUUUAGAAAAUUUUGGACUUGCAGAUUACAGAGAUUUUCUCAUGACUUGUGAAUUUUUUUUUCUUACUGGUUUUUAGUCCAUAAAUAUAUCUGCAGGUCUUAUUCUGUCUAUUGAAUCGUUGACUAAAUGAAUUUGAAAAAUAGGGAAGAGCCAAUUUUACUGAAUAUGAUGAUGCAUGUUUUGGUCUCAAAAGACACUAGCUGAUCACUUUGAUGGAAAUAAAACAAAAAUGGAGUUGUGCAUUUCUAUUGUUUUGAUGUAAUUUUUUUUUCUAUUCUCAGUGUGGUGCUUCCAUGGAUGUCAGUGUUUGGUUUGUAAAAGAGUGACUUGAGCCUUUUCAGCAUAAAUGAGUGUCUUGAGGCUUUUCAGUUUGUUUCUGCAUUAUGAAUGUUGUAAAUGUUACUACUCAGUUGCAGAUUGAUAGAAGAAUGAGUAAAAUAGUUAAAUUCUGUGGUAAAAUUCUAUAUGGUUGGGACCAAAUUUUGUUAAUGUGUAGCAAAAUUUUCUCCAAAGGAUUGAAUUUAUAAGCUUUCAUUAUUGUCUAUAAAAUGGAGUUGUGCAUUUCUCUUGUUCUGUGUACACACAUCUUUAUUGUAAUUGAGUUGUUGCUUAUGUUUUGGCAGUGUGUUGUAAUUGAGGUUGCAGUGGCUGGAGUUCAGGAAUGGUGAAGCUACAAGAAAGUUGAAUUCAGGAUGCAGUUGCAACAGUUUCGGAAUGGUGAAGCUACAAGAAAGUUGAAUACAAGAAACUUGUGCUUGUAGGAAACUUAGUUGUGUAUAGGAAAAACAUAUGUACAGUAGGAAACUUCAAUUGUCUAUUGUUUUUGUAUGAGUUGGAAAUAAAUACAAGAAGAGUUGGUUUUGAUAUACACUUGUGCUUUUACACUUGGUUGUGAUCUGAUAUGAACAAACUUGUUACAAAAUACAAAGUGAUGCAAAAUCAGAUCUGAACAAAGAUGUUCCUAUAUACAAACUUGCUACU